rnacentral:rRNA from 1 species
UACGUAGGGUGCGAGCGUUUAAUCGGAAUUACUGGGCGUAAAGCGUGCGCAGGCGGUUUUGUAAGCCAGAUGUGAAAUCCCCGGGCUUAACCUGGGAAUGGCAUUUGGGACUGCAAGGCUGGAGUGUGGCAGAGGAGACUGGAAUUCCUGGUGUAGCAGUGAAAUGCGUAGAUAUCAGGAGGAACACCGGUGGCGAAGGCGGAUCUCUGGGCCUUACCUGACGCUCAGGUGCGAAAGCUAGGGGAGCGAACAGG